AUGGCCUGGGCCCCUCUGCUCCUCGUGCUCCUCUGUCACUGCACAGGUUCCCUCUCCCAGGCUGUGCUGACUCAGCCGCCCUCCCUCUCUGCAUCUCCUGGAGCCACAGCCAGACUCACCUGCACCCUGAGGAGUGACAUAAGUGUUGGUGGUAAAAAUAUGUACUGGUACCAGCAGAAGUCAGGGAGUGCUCCCCGGUAUCUGCUGAGAUUUAAAUCCGACUCAGAUAAGUACCAGGGCUCCGGGGUCCCCAGCCGCUUCUCUGGAUCCAAAGACACCUCGGCCAAUGCAGGGCUCCUGACCAUCUCUGGGCUGCAGCCUGAGGACGAGGCCGAAUGCUACUGUGCGAUCUGGCACAGUGAUGCUCACCACAGUGACUCACACAGAUGGGGAAGUGGGACAAAAACCUCAGCCUAA